AGAGAGCACUCCACGCCCCUGAGCAUGCUUCUUCCUGUUGGAGGAUUAAGAGUCACAGCCAGGUUGCAGCUGAGUAGAAGAGCCCUUUCCUCUGCAAGUUUCCUCUUUAUUCCACAGACAUGCCUAGUGUCCUGGAGGAGGAGAGAAGAAGAUGCCGGAACUCUGGAACUGGCUGGAGUCACAGUCCUUUGUGAGCUGCCAAAGCCUUCAUCUAGUAACUGAUGGAAGCAGAUGCAGAGAUC